GGCAAGCCACUCGAGCAUGAAUUCUGCUAUUAUAUUCUUUGAAAUAUGGAUAACGUCGAUUCUACUUCCACACCAGACAUAAAUUUCGUCUAUCAACCCGAAGAGGUUACAUUUUGGAUGUUUGCAAUUAUCUUUGUUGGUUUAUCAUUUGUUAUAUACGUCAUAUUCAUUAUCUACUCAAUGUGCACUCGGAAAGAUUAGAGAUAAGAAUGUUUUCACAGAGUGUAAGAAAUGUAUCCAACAC